ACGUGGGAUUGGUGAAUUACAGAGCGAUUCUCCUUUGGCAUGCAGAAAAUUAACUAUAUAGUUGCCGCCAUGCCAAAGGAGACUUGCCCUGCCAUUCACCACUACAAUUAUCUUUUAUAGUCUCGUUAACAAUAAAAACAAUCCAGUGUAGGUACAUUAUACAUUGGAGCUGCUGGGGUCCUACAAGGUUUAUGUGACCUUACUCCUUUACUUGACAGCAUUAAAUAGUAUAUGAUAAUAGCUGUAAGUUUAGAUAGUAUUCUCUGUGAUCCUUAUCAUGCUUAUUCAAUUUUAAUGUUUUUCUGUUCUCGUUUCUUUCAUUGAGCAGUAAAAACCGGGCUAAUUUCUAGUCAUUCAGGAAAUUAUUCAGGCUGUUUGAAGUCUGCAACUGAAUGUUCAAAGCAAGUUGCAAAAGUCCUCACUGUGGAAGCAAGAAACAUUUAUAAAGGGUUAAUCACUUUGGACUAAUCUUCUCUUAGCAUCCAAGCACUAAUUAGAUUUACCUUUUUCGGUUUCUGAUCAGUCUCUCUGAUUUCUCAUCAUCAAUCAAGCUACUUCUUCGAACAGCAGGGUGUGUGUAAAGAAGUGGAUGCAAACUUCAUCAAGGCAUGUGUUUGAUUGUGCACAAAGAUAUAAUGCAGCUUUGUAUCUCAAAAUAUCAUUAUAGUAAAUCAGUUGAUGAAAUACAGAUUUUGCAAGGAUCAAA